GUGGGUGUCAGUUGUGGUGAUGUUGGCUGGUUGGGCUGGUCCAUCCUCUGACCCUGGGGGUGGGGUAGUCAGGUGCCAGCAGUGCUGGACUAGACGAGAUGAUUCCCCUAUUCUCAGGCCCCUACGUGGCCCACUGAAUGGCAUGUAUGAGUCUGAAAGCGGUUGGACCACGACUGUCAGUCAGCCCAGAUUUCAGGUGCUGGCUGUGAUUGAGGAUGGCAGUCUGGUGCCUAGGUCACUGGCAGAACUCUCAGAAAGGGGCAGGGAGAUGACAGGCCUAUGGGGACUGGGUUGCAGUUGAAAUGGUCUGGCCGGAGCAGAGUGGCUGUACUGUCAGACUUUCACUGGGGAGGGCAGAACCCCUCUUCUGAGGCAAUAAAGACUGGCAGCUGUGGAGCAUGUGGCCUGCUAGCACUUUUCUCCACAGAAGCAGUUCUGGAUUUCACUGUUGGGGCCUAUGAAGGUGCCUGCUGUCCUGGCCCGUGGGCAGCAGAGGCAGAGGCAGCAGUGGCAGAGGGUGUGGAGGGCCUAUCUGUGGCCUCUGGGAGUUGGCAGCUUCUGGGAGUCCACCCACAGCCACAGCAUUCAGGUUUAGAAUUGACAAUUACUUUUAAGGCUGAUAUAGUGGUAACAAAUUUCCUCAGAGAUUCCUUGUUUGGGAAAGGCUUUGCAGAUAACAUUUUGAUGGCAUCUACCUUUCUUCAGGAACACAGACUGGAGUACAGUGGAGCAAUCUCACCUCAAUGCAGCCUCCACCUCCUGGGUUCAAGAGAUUCUCAUGCCUCAGUCUCCCGAGUAGCUGGGAUUACAGGCGUGUGCCACCACACCUGCCACCAGACCAGUUCCAGGCUGGUCUGGAACUUUUGACCCCAAGUAAUUUGCCCACCUUGGCCUCCUGAAGUGCUGAGAUUACAGGUGAGCCACUCUGCCCAGCCACAUCUUUAUUUCUAAAGGACAGCUUUGCCAAGUGCAGUAUUGCUGGCUGGCAGUUUUCUUUCCGCACUUUAAGUAUCUAACCCAACUUUCUCUGGCCUGUAAGGUCUCUGCUGAGAAAUCUCCUGCUAGCCUCAUUGGAAAAACCAUUAUAUAUUAUUUGGUUCUUUUCUCCUGCUGCUUUUACAAUUUUUUAUUUGUCUUUGAUUU
rnacentral:lncRNA from 1 species